rnacentral:rRNA from 1 species
UACGUAGGUGGCAAGCGUUAUCCGGAAUUAUUGGGCGUAAAGAGCGCGCAGGUGGUUAAUUAAGUCUGAUGUGAAAGCCCACGGCUUAACCGUGGAGGGUCAUUGGAAACUGGUUGACUUGAGUGCAGAAGAGGGAAGUGGAAUUCCAUGUGUAGCGGUGAAAUGCGUAGAGAUAUAGAGGAACACCAGUGGCGAAGGCGGCUUCCUGGUCUGCAACUGACACUGAGGCGCGAAAGCGUGGGGAGCAAACAGG